AUUGAACGCUGGCGGCAUGCUUUACACAUGCAAGUCGAACGGCAGCGCGGGCUUCGGCCUGGCGGCGAGUGGCGAACGGGUGAGUAAUACAUCGGAACGUGCCCAGUAGUGGGGGAUAGCUCGGCGAACGCCGGAUUAAUACCGCAUACGACCUGAGGGUGAAAGCGGGGGAUCUUCGGACCUCGCGCUAUUGGAGCGGCCGAUGGCAGAUUAGCUAGUUGGUGGGGUAAAGGCCUACCAAGGCGACGAUCUGUAGCUGGUCUGAGAGGACGACCAGCCACACUGGGACUGAGACACGGCCCAGACUCCUACGGGAGGCAGCAGUGGGGAAUUUUGGACAAUGGGCGAAAGCCUGAUCCAGCAAUGCCGCGUGUGUGAUGAAGGCCUUCGGGUUGUAAAGCACUUUUGGCGGGAACGAAAAGGACUGUGCCAAUACCACGGUUCGAUGACGGUACCCGCAGAAUAAGCACCGGCUAACUACGUG
rnacentral:rRNA from 1 species